rnacentral:misc_RNA from 1 species
GUGAAUCAUCAAAUUUUUGAACGCAAAUUGCACUCUCCUCGGAGAGUAUGCCUGUUUGAGGGUCGUUAGAAUAAAAAUCGAAGCAUCGCUCUUUUUUUGAGGGUGAUCGCGUCGGAAUUGAGCCGUCUUUCAAAUGUUAAUUCAUGUCAAAGUGGCUUAAAAUUCAUCCAUCCGGUACGAUUAAAGCGUAUUUAAGAUCAAUUUUGAUUAAGGACGCGCGAUGACGUACUAUCUCAUGUAGUACGUUUGACCUGGGUUAUCAGGUUCAUUCGUAUAGGAUACUCAAACUGUUGACCUCAAA